AUUCCCACGGGAGGCAGCAGUGGGGAAUAUUGCACAAUGGGGGAAACCCUGAUGCAGCGACGCCGCGUGAGUGAAGAAGAAUUUCGGUAUGUAAAGCUCUAUCAGCAGGGAAGAAAAUGACGGUACCUGACUAAGAAGCCCCGGCUAACUACGUGCCAGCAGCCGCGGUAAUACGUAGGGGGCAAGCGUUAUCCGGAUUUACUGGGUGUAAAGGGAGCGUAGGCGGCAAGGGAAGCCAGAAGUGAAAG
rnacentral:rRNA from 1 species